GUAUCAGUGUGAGGCCCAGAACACACAAGGACGUAGUAAGGCCACCUUACAUCUGACUGUUGGAGCAGGGAAGUCAGUGAUAAUCAUGAAUAUCCUCAGGCUGACUCUGGUGGUCGUGCUGGUUCCAGUGCUUGUCUGGACUCUGUGGACGAGGAUGAAGAAAACUCUGAGCGUCAAAUCAGAAGCGAAUGAAGCUGUGGAGAUG